UGGCCUCUGCACUGUUAGUCAUAAUGAAGGAGGUGUGGCCUCUGUAUUUGUCAGUCAUAAUGAAGGAGGUGUGGCCUCUGCACUGUCAGGCAUAAUGAAGGAGGCAUGGCCACUGUAUCAGUCACAAUGAAGGAGGCGUGGCCUCUGCACUGUCAGGCAUAAUGAAGGAGGUGUGGCCUCUGUAUUUGUCAGUCAUAAUGAAGGAGGUGUGGCCUCUGUAUUUGUCGAUCAUAAUGAAGGAGGCGUGGCCUCUGCACUGUCAGUCACAAUGAAGGAGGCGUGGCCUCUGUAAAAUGAACAAGACAAGCAACAAAAGCACAAAAUGCUUCAUUUUCAAUGCUCGCAUUACACCAAAACCAGCUGAAAGCGUAAGCCGUUUGUUAUACAACUCUUUUUUAACAUGCCCUCAUCAUCCACUUCCUGUUUCAAAAACAAUGACUACAUCACGUCACUACAGGGAAGUGUGUGUAAGGGUUUGUUUUUUUUUAAGCAGAAACACACUUGACAUCAAAAGACUGAAGAGUAGAACUGAGGCUGAUUUUAAUAUUUACACCUGAAAACUAGACUUUAUCAACAUUUAGGAAAAAGCUGGAAUAUUGAUUUUUGCUCAUUUAUGUAGAUUUUUAGUCGUUUCUUGAAUUUUAAUUUGUGUUUUAAUUCAAACAUUAAUUAAUACGCAUUAACUUGCUUUGUUAAUAUUAUUUAAAAGUUUAACAUUUGUUAAUGGUAAUUAAAGUAAAAGUAAAA